rnacentral:pre_miRNA from 1 species
AUUGUACUCCCUCCGUCACAAAAUUCUUGUCUUAAAUUUUUCUAAAUACGGAUGUAUCAAGUCACAUUUUAGUAUUAGAUACAUUCGUAUCUAGACAAAUCUAAGACAAGAAUUGUGGGACGGAGGGAGUAUGUA